UGUUUGUGUAGUGUGUGUAUAUAAUGCAGUGUGUUUGUGUAGUGUGCAUUAUAUAAACAAACACACUACAUUUUAUACACACACUACACAAAC